GACGAACGCUGGCGGCGUGCUUAACACAUGCAAGUCGAGCGGUAAGGCCCUUUCGGGGGUACACGAGCGGCGAACGGGUGAGUAACACGUGGGCGACCUGCCCUCAGCUCUGGGAUAAGCCCGGGAAACUGGGUCUAAUACCGGAUAUGACUCCAUGACGCAUGUUGUGGGGUGGAAAGCCUUGUGCGGCUGAGGAUGGGCCCGCGGCCUAUCAGCUUGUUGGUGGGGUGAUGGCCUACCAAGGCGACGACGGGUAGCCGGCCUGAGGA
rnacentral:rRNA from 1 species